UAAUAGAGAUGAUUGUCUUUCUCAUGUGCAG
rnacentral:piRNA from 1 species